UGGGUGUGUGAGAGCUUCCAAAGGUUCCAGUGCUAGACAAAUUUAUGCUUAUGUGGUGUGUCUCAAGGCAAUACUGGAAGUCUCCUGUAUCUACAUGCACUGUAUGGACUGCAUGUGAAGAGCUUGUCAGUACAGAUUUCCUGACAGCAGGACAGCUCAUCUCUGGCUCAAACUCCCCUCAAAUACCAGAUGAAAGUCAGAACUAAGUGGAAGCACUGCAUUAGGAAGCAGGAGAUGAAUA